CGGCCCCUGCGGGGUACGUGACGGGCUCUCAGAAAGAAGAUGAACCAACGGAUUCCGUUCGGGAGCCGCCUCUGCCGGCGGUGAGCGAUCUCCAACGCGGGAUUGCCUGAAGCCGGUAUCGUGGCGCCCACCUGGUGAAGGCGGGUUCAUUGCCUUCGGUUGCCUUGACGGCCCUUGCGGGGGACAU
rnacentral:other from 1 species